CCGUCCAGACUCCUACGGGAGGCAGCAGUGGGGAAUAUUGCACAAUGGGCGAAAGCCUGAUGCAGCUAUACCGCGUGUAUGAAGAAGGCCUUAGGGUUGUAAAGUACUUUCGUUGGGGAGGAAAAAUAAAUAGAUAAUACCUGUUUAUCGUGACGUUACCCAAAAAAGAAGCACCGGCUAACUCCGUGCCAGCAGCCGCGGUAAUACGGAGGGUGCAAGCGUUAAUCAGAAUUACUGGGCGUAAAGAGCUCGUAGGCGGUUUUUUAAGUCAGAUGUGAAAUCCCUGGGCUUAACCUAGGAACUGCAUUUGAAACUAAAAGACUAGAGUAUCGUAGAGGGAGGUAGAAUUCUAGGUGUAGCGGUGAAAUGCGUAGAUAUCUGGAGGAAUACCUGUGGCGAAAGCGGCCUCCUAAAUGAAUACUGACGCUGAGGUGCGAAAGCAUGGGGAGCAAACAGGAUUAGAUACCCUGGUAGUCCAUGCCGUAAACGAUGUCGACUUGGAGGUUGUUUCCUUGAGAAGUGACUUCCGAAGCUAACGCGUUAAGUCGACCGCCUGGGGAGUACGGUCGCAAGGCUAAAACUCAAAUGAAUUGACGGGGGCCCGCACAAGCGGUGGAGCAUGUGGUUUAAUUCGAUGCAACGCGAAAAACCUUACCUGGUCUUGACAUCCACAGAAUUUUUCAGAGAUGAAAAAGUGCCUUAGGGAACUGUGAGACAGGUGCUGCAUGGCUGUCGUCAGCUCGUGUUGUGAAAUGUUGGGUUAAGUCCCGCAACGAGCGCAACCCUUAUCCUCUGUUGCCAUUGGUUCGGCCAGGAACUCAGAGGAGACUGCCGGUUAUAAACCGGAGGAAGGCGGGGACGACGUCAAGUCAUCAUGGCCCUUACGACCAGGGCUACACACGUGCUACAAUGGUGUAUACAAAGAGAAGCAACUCUGCAAAGACAAGCAAACCUCAUAAAGUACAUCGUAGUCCGGACUGGAGUCUGCAACUCGACUCCCGA
rnacentral:rRNA from 2 species